UAUUUUAAAGAGAGUUUGAUCCUGGCUCAGGACGAACGCUGGCGGCGUGCCUAAUACAUGCAAGUCGAACGAACGGAGGAAGAGCUU
rnacentral:rRNA from 1 species